rnacentral:rRNA from 1 species
CACGUAGGGCGCGAGCGUUGUCCGGAAUUAUUGGGCGUAAAGAGCUCGUAGGCGGCCUGUUGCGUCCGCUGUGAAAGCCCGGGGCUUAACCCCGGGUCUGCAGUGGAUACGGGCAGGCUAGAGGUAGGUAGGGGAGAAUGGAAUUCCCGGUGUAGCGGUGAAAUGCGCAGAUAUCAGGAGGAACACCGAUGGCGAAGGCAGGUCUCUGGGCAUUAACUGACGCUGAGGAGCGAAAGCAUGGGGAGCGAACAGG